ACUUAUGUGUUUUUUCUCGAUUUUAUUCGUAAUAUUUAAACAAAGCUCAGUUUUACGUUUAUUUCUGUGUUGAAAUAGGGAAAACAAAAUAAAGCUGGUAAAAGUAGAGAAAAUUUCCUUUCCAACAAGCCCUUAUAGUUUUUCUUACGCUCAGUAUUUUCUUAAUUACGAUAAUUUGAAUUGGUGACCUUUGCAUAGUUUUUAUGGAAAAAUCGGUCAAUAUUUACAUGUAACGUCAAGGUCGAUAUUGUUGCGUCUUACUCGAAACAACAAAUUCUUUUAUAAGACUUUUUUGACCAUUUAAAUAUAUUUUUUUUAAAUAAAUGCAUAAUACAAAAAAAAAAAUAGAUUGCAAAAAACAAAUAUAUACUUUCGUUCUGCCUUUUGUGAAGUGAAUGUUGAUUUAUUCAUCUACAUGUACAUGUAAUGAUGUAUAUUUUAUGAAGUGAUAUACAAUAUUGAUAAAAAUUGUAGAUUUCCAAAACGUCGAUCUUUACUUAAAAAAAAAUCAAUCAGAUUUUUAAUAUUGUUGUAUCUUGUUAUACUGUAUACUUAUUAAUUUGCAAUUUAAUUAGAUCUAUAUUUAACAAUACAAAAACUCGCAUUUAUAAAUAAAUACGACUCAUCACUGUAUGAGUUGAUACGAAUUGAAAUAAACACGUGUUUCCGCUUUGGUGUAAACAUGAUGGUGAUCCGAAAUCUCAACGUCAAUUUUCAUGAUUAUUUCACGACGAAGAUCAUCACAUCAAUGAAUCAAAUAAUACGGACAUGCCUUUGGUAUUAGCAGGGUGCUUUCAGCAUAUUCAACAAUACUUUCAUCUGUGAAUACCCACUUUCUAAGCCCACCAUGAACUACGAAGGUCAAUUAAUAUGUAAGGACACCAAUGAACAGUUUUUCAGACACUUUCCAAUUAUCCUACAUCAUAUACAUGGAUGGUCAAACUCACUGGAUGGUUUAUCAACACUCCCAUGCUCACGAACAGCCUUGCGCCAGGAAUUUUGCCCUGAAGUAACAUUGCAGUCUAUUGUCUCCUUUCUUUUUACAACCCUG